AACGAACGCUGGCGGCAGGCUUAACACAUGCAAGUCGAACGGUUGUAGCAAUACAGCAGUGGCAGACGGGUGAGUAACACGUGGGAACCUUCCUAGGGGUACGGAACAACUCAGGGAAACUUGAGCUAAUACCGUAUACGUCCGUGGGGAGAAAGAUUUAUCGCCCUUAGACGGGCCCGCGUCGGAUUAGCUAGUUGUGGGUAACGGCCUACCAAGGCGACGAUCCGUAGCUGAUCUUAGAGGAUGAUCAGCCACACUGGGACUGAGACACGGCCCAGACUCCUACGGGAGGCAGCAGUGGGGAAUCUUGGACAAUGGGCGCAAGCCUGAUCCAGCCAUGCCGCGUGAGUGAAGAAGGUCUUCGGAUUGUAAAGCUCUUUGCCAGGGACGAUAAUGACGGUACCUGGAGAAUAAG
rnacentral:rRNA from 1 species